rnacentral:tRNA from 1 species
UGGCGUAGUGGUCACUGCGCUCGCCUUGCACGCGGGAGACCCGGGUUCGAUUCCCGA